UCGACUCAUACUUUUCCUUACGCUAUUUUCUCUGUUUCUGUUUCCUCAAGUUAAAAAACCCUAAACACAAUCUUCCAUGGAGAUGCCAAAAGAUGAAGAUGCCAUGAGAUUGAAGACGGCACAAUUUUCCAAUGAAGACCUUUCUAAUACCGAUCCUAUUGAUUGAUGAAGACGGCACCAGAUCGUAGAUUUUGUGAGAAAUUUUUGUUUCCGUUCGAAUUGUUGUAUAUGAAAACACGAAUACGCGACCGAUUUGUGAGAAAUUUUGUCUCCGUUCGAAUUGCUGUAUACGAAAACACGAAUACGCGACCGAUCUUGAUGAAUCUGUUGUUUGCAAUGGUUGCCUGAGUCUAGACAAAAUACUUCCACAGGAGAAUUGCCUUUUCUUUCUUAGAUGCAGAAGGGUGGAGAGCCUGAAGCAGCUGCUGACGAUAUGAGCCUGCUGGGAUUUAACUAAGCUCAAUAAUGUGGAUCAAUGGAAAGAGACAAGGAAGAUUGGCGGCUUUGGAGGAACAAUCUAGAUGAAGAAUACUCUGUUCAACAUGUGAAGAUGGCGGUGAACCUGCAGGAUAGUACAAACCAACAGUUUUCGAGAUUUCAUUGGAAUAGAUGGGCCAUUCCGAAGGUAAACCUGUUUGUUUAGAGAGCUAACUUAGAUAAAAGUUUUCAUAUAUUUAAUUAAUAUUGAAUAUAAAUGUAAUUUCAUUGUCAUUAUUUAAUGUAAUAUAUGUAUUUCUUUUGUGUUUUUUA